rnacentral:rRNA from 1 species
GAUGAACGCUGGCGGCGUGCCUAAUACAUGCAAGUCGAGCGAACGGACGAGAAGCUUGCUUCUCUGAUGUUAGCGGCGGACGGGUGAGUAACACGUGGAUAACCUACCUAUAAGACUGGGAUAACUUCGGGAAACCGGAGCUAAUACCGGAUAAUAUUUUGAACCGCAUGGUUCAAAAGUAAAAGACGGUCUUGCUGUCACUUAUAGAUGGAUCCGCGCUGCAUUAGCUAGUUGGUAAGGUAACGGCUUACCAAGGCAACGAUGCAUAGCCGACCUGAGAGGAGGGGCGGCCGCACGGGAACUGAGACAGGGCAAAGACUAGGAAGGGAGGCAGAAGUGGGGGAUUUUGGGGAAGGGGGGAAAGCAUGAUACAGCAGUGGGGAGGGAGUGAAGAAGGCCUUAGGGUCGUAAAGUACUGUUGUGAGGGAAGAAAAGUAGGCUAUGGAUAAUGGCGGAUAGUGACGGUACCUAAGAAAUAAGCAACGGCUAACUAAGUG